UACGUAGGGUGCGAGCGUUAAUCGGAAUUACUGGGCGUAAAGCGUGCGCAGGCGGUUUGUUAAGCCAGAUGUGAAAGCCCCGGGCUCAACCUGGGAACUGCGUUUGGUACUGGCAAGCUAGAGUACGGCAGAGGGGGGUGGAAUUCCACGUGUAGCAGUGAAAUGCGUAGAGAUGUGGAGGAACACCGAUGGCGAAGCCAGCCCCCUGGGCCGAUACUGACGCUCAGGCACGAAAGCGUGGGGAGCAAACAGG
rnacentral:rRNA from 1 species